rnacentral:rRNA from 1 species
UUGAACGCUGGCGGCAGGCCUAACCCAUGCCAGUCGAGCGGAUGAAGGGAGCUUGCUCCUGGAUUCAGCGGCGGACGGGUGAGUAAUGCCUAGGAAUCUGCCUGGUAGUGGGGGAUAACGUCCGGAAACGGGCGCUAAUACCGCAUACGUCCUGAGGGAGAAAGGGGGGGAUCUUCGGACCUCACGCUAUCAGAUGAGCCUAGGUCGGAUUAGCUAGUUGGUGGGGUAAAGGCCUACCAAGGCGACGAUCCGUAACUGGUCUGAGAGGAUGAUCAGUCACACUGGAACUGAGACACGGUCCAGACUCCUACGGGAGGCAGCAGUGGGGAAUAUUGGACAAUGGGCGAAAGCCUGAUCCAGCCAUGCCGCGUGUGUGAAGAAGGUCUUCGGAUUGUAAAGCACUUUAAGUCGGGAGGAAGGGCAGUAAGUUAAUACCUUGCUGUUUUGACGUUACCAACAGAAUAAGCACCGGCUAACUUCGUG